GUCCCUGUGCAGUGGAUGGUACGUUGGAGAUCUAAUCCAAAGAUCGUGGGUUCGAAUCCCACCCGGGAUG